UUCGGCUACAUGGUCGCCCACUGAAGUUAAGCAGGGUUGCGCCCGGUCAGUACCUGGAUGGGAGACCACAUGGGAAAACUAGGUUGCUGCCGGAA
rnacentral:rRNA from 1 species